rnacentral:misc_RNA from 1 species
UCUCCGUUGGUGAACCAGCGGAGGGAUCAUUACCGAGUUUACAACUCCCAAACUCAAUGUGAACCAUACCAAACUGCUGCCUCGGUGGGGUCACGCCCCGGGGGCGUCGCAGCCCCGGAACCAGGCGCCCGCCGGAGGGACCAACCACACUCUUGCUGUAGUCCCCUCGCAGACUUUAUUUCUUACGGCUCUGAGCAAAAGUUCUAAAUGAAUCAAAACUUUCAACAACGGAUCUCUUGGUUCUG